rnacentral:rRNA from 1 species
UAAGACGAGCUACACAAACGUUAUUCGGAAUUACUGGGCUUAAAGGGUGCGUAGGCUGUGCAGAAAGUUAGGUGUGAAAUCCCUCAGCUCAACUGAGGAACUGCGCCUAAUACUACUGUGCUUGAGGGAGAUAGAGGUAAGCGGAACUUAGGGUGGAGCGGUGAAAUGCGUUGAUAUCCUAAGGAACACCGGUGGCGAAAGCGGCUUACUGGGUCUCAUCUGACGCUGAUGCACGAAAGCUAGGGUAGCGAACGGGAUUAGAUACCCCGGUAGUCCUAGCCGUAAACUAUGAGCACUUGGUUGAAGGGUCCUCCAUAGCCCUUCAGCCGUAGCGAAAGUGUUAAGUGCUCCGCCUGGGGAGUAUGGUCGCAAGGCUG